GCGAGUCUUGUAGCAUACAAGGCGGACGGCUCAGUAACACGUAGUCAACCUAACUCGUGGACGUGGAUAACCUCGGGAAACUGAGAAUAAACCACGAUAGAUCAUAGUGCCUGGAAUGGCUUAUGGUCCAAACAGUUUACUGCCAUGGGAUGGGACUGCGGCCUAUCAGCUUGUUGGUGAGGUAAUGGCCCACCAAGGCGAUUACAGGUACGGGCUCUGAGAGGAGAAGCCCGGAGAUGGGUACUGAGACACGGACCCAGGCCCUAUGGGGCGCAGCAGGCGAGAAACCUUAGCAAUGUGCGAAAGCACGACUGGGUCAGUCCGAGUGAUUCCUGAUAAAGGAGUCUUUUGCUUGUCCUAAAAGCACAGGUGAAUAAGGGGUGGGCAAGUCUGGUGUCAGCCGCCGCGGUAAUACCAGCACCUCGAGUGGUCAGGACGUUUAUUGGGCCUAAAGCAUCCGUAGCCGGCUCUGCAAGUCUUCGGUUAAAUCCACCUGCUCAACAGAUGGGCUGCUGGAGAUACUACAGAGCUAGGGAGUGGGAGAGGCAGACGGUAUUCAGUGGGUAGGGGUAAAAUCCUCUGAUCCAUUGAGGACCACCAGUGGCGAAGGCGGUCUGCCAGAACACGUUCGACG
rnacentral:rRNA from 1 species